UGAACUUGCAAUCCUCCUGCUUCACCCUCCCAAGUAGCUUGCAUUAUAGACGUGGAUUGCCUUCUCUAGUUGCAUUGUUCUCUUGAUUUCUUUUUCUGGACUGUCCAUUGUGAGUAUAUGGAAAUACCAUUGAUUUUUGUAUAUUGACCUUGUAUCCUGCCACUUUGCUAUUCUCAUUAAUUCUUGUUUAUUGUGGCAAAACACAUAGCAUGAGGCCCACCCUUUUAACCAGUGCCUCAGUCUUCAGUACAGUGUGGGUAACUGUCAGAGCAGCGCUGCUCAGUGUCUCUGGAAUGCUUUCUUCUUGUGCAAUUGAAACUAUAGCAACUGAACAGCGGCUCCACAUGUCCUCCUCCCCCGACCCACUCUCAUUCCCUCUUCCCACAAGUGCGACUGCCACACUCCUCACGCAAGUCAGUCACGCUGAAUCUCCUGCGUGGCCGAGUUUGUCUUCAAGGUUCAUUCAUGUUGUGGCCUGAGACCAGGCCACGUUGUGUGGCUGCUGAAUAACAGACCAUGGAGUGAGUUUGCUGCAUUUUCUCUACUCAUUGGUCUGUCAGUGGGCAUUUAGACAUUUCUACAUUUUGGCUACUAUGAGUACUGCUAACAUGAACAUGGGAAUACAAAUAUCUUCUUGAGAGUUGGACUUCAACGCUUCUGAAUAAAUGCCAUAAAGUGGGAUGGCUGCAUCAUCUGGUGGUUCUGUUUUGGGGGAGGGUAUUUUGAGACGGUUUCACUAUGUAGUUCAGGCUGGCCUGGAACUCACACUGAUCCUCCUGCCUCAGCCUCCUGAGUGCUGGAUUUACAGGGAUUAGAGGCCUCCGCCUCACACCACCCGAGCCCUCUGGUCGAGGCCGCCUGCAUGCUGAGGUGAGAUCACCACCACUCCAGGAAGUGCACCCCCAGUCCCUGGUGCCUGUCCCUGUCCUCCUGCAAUGAAGGUGAUGGAAUGUCAGCAGAAGGCUUUAAAGCAGAGCUUCAUAGCUGGAAGAGGGAGCCACAGGCAGGCGACAUCCGAGGCCCCACUUGCAUGGCCACCUGAGCCCAGAGGCUGUGCACGAAGCCAGGACCGAGGCUCUGGGAGCCGAGCUUCGAGUGGCCUCUUGCUCCCCGCAGCAGGGAAGUGGGGCACCGGCCAGACUGCAAGGCGCUGGUUCUGCCACCACCAGAAGCAGCACAUCCUUCCCGGAGCCUCCCACUGGGGUCCAGCCACUGAUGCUGUGAUUUCACCUCGGGAACCCUGGGUCAAAGCGUCCAGUUGAGCCAAGCUGGAUUUCUGAAUGACAGAGAGUGAGAUGAUACAUUUGUGUUGUCUUUGUAUUUGUAAUCACUUGUAGGGUUGGGGUUAGGACAGUGCAGAGCACAAACCUGGCACUCAUGAGACCCUGGGUCCAAUCCCUAGUGCCAGGGAAAAAAAAUCUUUAUAUUUGUAAUAACUUGUUAAGGCAACAAAAGAAAACCAACACAAUACCUAAACUAUAAAUCUGAUGUCAGAUUCCACUUCAAACCUUCUCAUGACUUUUUUGGUUUUGGUUUUGGUUUUUUAAGAUAGUAAACUUAC
rnacentral:lncRNA from 1 species